UCCCCACCAGCGCAAACCCUAGCACUCGUCCCUUCCAGAUUGCCCCUUCCAGAUCAGAGCCGCCACGUCCUUCCUUCCAGAUCGCGGCCAGCACCUCCCUCCGGCGGAGCUCCCCGCCGUCCAUGGCCUCCCCCACGCCCUCCUCUCUCCCUUCCCCUCCCUUGUGCCGCCACCACCACCACUCCUUCCAAGCGCGUGCUGCCCAUCAUCCCUCCUCUCCUCUCCUCUCCUCAUAUCGCGCCGCCCAUUCAUCCGAGUUGGUGCUGCUGGAAGGGGCGGGGGCGCAGUCGAGGAAGCAGCAGCAACACCACCACCACAAGCUGGAGGUCUAAACCGAGGUGCUGGCGCGCCUCCACGCCGUCGAGGAGCGCGCCCCCGGCUUCGACGAUGACCUCUGGAGCCACUUCAACCGCCUCCCCGCACGCUACGCAAUGGAUGUGAACGUGGAGAGAGCGGAGGACGCGCUCACACACAAGCGUCUCCUCGAGCUGGCCAAGAAUCCGGCGCAACGCCCGGCCUUCGCCGUCCGAGCUGCAGGGGCUGUCGGUCUUCCUCAGCGACAUCCGCAACUACCACAACAAGGAGCAGGAGCGCCUCCGCGUUGACAAGGAGCUCGGCAACAUCUGCACCCGCUUCAAGAACGAAAAGAUUGGCAAGGCCGGUGGUGACAAGUGGAAGUCUUGAAUGAUGAUGUAAGUUCAUGCCGGUCAUCGAUAGGAAGGCCGGAUACUCCUUCGUCUACCCAUUCGGAUGGAGGUGUCUGUGCAAGGGCAGGACAAGGUGUACAAGGACGUGAUCGAGCUGCUGGAGAGCAUUAGCAUCAACAUGACCCCCGCCACCAAGGAAGACAUCCGCGACCUCAGCCCGCCUGACCCCGCGAGUGGACCUCAAGACUGUCGUGUACCACGCCGAUGACGUCCUCGAUGACUUCCGCUAUGAGGUGAUGCACCGCCGUGCAACCCAGAUCCGCCGCCGCUGCUCCACUGCUCGCAAGGUUGGCCAUGCCGGCAAGCGACCAACACGACGCCUGGAGAGGAGAGGAGGGCCUUCUCCUCACAGUGUAGUCGCCGGCCUUGUCCUGCUUGAGGAGGAGGAGCAGGAGGGGGCGCACCCUGCCACCACAGUCGUUGCCGUACCACCUGGACCUCGAAAUCCACGUCGUCGUCGUCCAGCCACCCAACUCCCCUUCGUCCCCUCUCCCCUCCUUGUUUCAUUCGAUCUCGCAGCCAUGGAUUUGGGUUCCUCAAGGCUGCCUAAUUACUUUACUUUGUAUGGAUCCAAUAAUUUUGUUUGGUACAGAAUAGCACCACCCUAGUUUGUCUACAAUUUUGUUUACGAUGAUGCCCCUGCAUAGGAUGUGAAGCAAGCCUUCCAAUCUGCUUGUUUCGUUUUUGUUAGUGUGUGUACAUGCAAAAUGAUAGGCGCCUACCUUGUAUCUUUCUUUCUAGAUAGCAUUCUAGUGUGGUAACAUAUGAUUUACAGUUGCCUGUUCAUGAUGCUAUACAAACUCUGAAAAUUGGUACUUCAGUCAAAUGUGCUUCCUUUCUAAACAGUUGUUUCUACUUCUCCAUCCUUGAAACCGAUUGCAUGCUAUCGUAGAUGGGUCUGGGUUUGCAGUGUUGCUGUUGUGUUACUACUGAUGUGGUUUAUGUUGACUGAAAAUGGGCUGCUUUGUUUCAGAGGAGCGUUGUUGAUCUGAUACUGCAGGAUCUGCAAAAUAACCCUGAGAUGUGGCUGCAAGUGGUGCACAUCCUGUAGAACUCCCAGAACCUCAACACCGAGUUCUUUGCCCUUCAAGUGCCUUCGUUCAACCUGUACGAACAUAUCCAGAAAUGGUGUUUCCUCUCACUUAAGAAGCUCCAGCCUGAAAGUAAAAGUGAAAAAGUCGGUAGUAUAGUUGUAGUAGUUAUAUGUUGUGAUAGUAUCACAUGUAAUGGUGAGAUGAAUUAUGUAAAGAUUGUGCUCUUAGCCAAAAUUGGCAUGUGGUUUGAAAAUUUUCA